UUUGCAUAAAACACAAACAGAGGAAGGGCGGCCGCUUUGCAGAAAAACGCAAAUAAGGAACAUUGAGACAAAUGGAGCAACAGUUUGAUGGAGCUUACGGCGGCAACUGUUGGAUGUUUUGGUGAGACGACGGAUAUCCUUAGCGGUUUGGAUCCUCAAAUUAGGAGAAAUCUCCAUUGCUCGAAUUUUAGAGAGAGAGAACGCGGCGGCGCUAAAAGGGGUGAUCGUUGUUUCGGCGUGACGGCGACAGUGAUACCAUCGUCGAAGUUAAAACAGGAACAAAUGUACCAAUAAGCAUGGCUUGUGCAUCAAUGGGAGUCAUCAUCAACAUAGCAGGGUUUGACAGUGAACAAAGUCAACAUAGCAUGGCUUGAUCUGAUGUAAUUUAUUUUUGCCUUUAUUCUUAGUUUGUAAUUUGAUUUGGUUUUAAAACUCUAAUUAGAUUUGAAAUUGCAAAUUUAUAAUACAUAAUGAAAUUACUUAUU